UACGUAGGGGGCUAGCGUUGUCCGGAAUCAUUGGGCGUAAAGAGCGUGUAGGCGGCCCGGUAAGUCCGCUGUGAAAGUCGGGGGCUCAACCCUCGAAUGCCGGUGGAUACUGUCGGGCUAGAGUGCGGAAGAGGCGAGUGGAAUUCCUGGUGUGGCGGUGAAAUGCGCAGAUAUCAGGAGGAACACCGAUUGCGAAGGCAGCUCGCUGGGACGUCACUGACGCUGAGACGCGAAAGCGUGGGGAGCAAACAGG
rnacentral:rRNA from 1 species